rnacentral:rRNA from 1 species
UACGUAGGGACCGAGCGUUGUCCGGAUUCAUUGGGCGUAAAGAGCUCGUAGGCGGCUGUUCAAGUCGAACGUGAAAACUCGGAGCUCAACUCCGAGCCUGCGUUCGAUACUGGACGGCUAGAGUCUGGUAGGGGGAUCUGGAAUUCCUGGUGUAGCGGUGGAAUGCGCAGAUAUCAGGAGGAACACCGGUGGCGAAGGCGGGUCUCUGGACAGUUCCUGACGCUGAGGCACGAAGGUCAGGGGAGCAAACGGG